rfam:Triticum urartu cultivar G1812 contig906505, whole genome shotgun sequence.
GAGUUAUUCCCUUCGUUCCGAAUUACUUGUUUUGAACUUGUCUAGAUAUGAAUGUAUCUAGACUCAUUUCAGUAUUAGAUACCUUCGUAUCUAGACAAAUCUAAGACAAGUAAUUUGAAACGGGGGGAGUACAUG